AAUGCCAUCCUCGGCCUGCCACGCGCGAACCCCUUUACUACCAACUACCAAACGAAACAAAGGCACAGGAGACAGCCACCGUCGCAGCCAUGGCGAAGCGAGUCGGCAGCCGGAACUCGAACGAGUCCGCAUUGACUCGGGGCGUCAAGUCGGUCUUUCGCUUUGUUCGAUUCGCCGAGUUCGAAAUCCUGUUUGUUCUUUUCUUCGUAAUCGCUUUCAUCAUUUUCAAAGAUCUCACAUCAAAGCCGGAAUACAGUCAGAUUCUCGUAAAAAAGCCCGGUGGCGUUAGUAUUUGGCCUUACUAGCGGAAUAUCUCAUCGUUGGAUAAACAUUUGACAUCAAAGCCGGAAUACAGUCAGAUUCUCGUAAAAAAGCCCGGCGGCGUUAGUAUUUGGCCUUACUAGCGGGAUAUCUCAUCGUUGGAUAAACAUUUGGUAUAUCAUUCGGAUUUUCUUGUACCUUUUUUGUAACACAACAGAUUAUCUUGCCAUCCUUCUAUUUUUAUUUGUAUCUGUACAUGUAAUUAUAUGACGAUUAAACAACAGCUUUCAAUA